rnacentral:rRNA from 1 species
GACGUAGGGAGCAAGCGUUGUCCGGAAUUAUUGGGCGUAAAGAGCGCGUAGGCGGUCCGAUAAGUCGGCUGUGAAAGUCAGGGGCUCAACCCUUGGAAGCCGGCCGAUACUGUCGGACUAGAGUCCGGAAGAGGCGAGUGGAAUUCCCGGUGUAGCGGUGAAAUGCGCAGAUAUCGGGAGGAACACCAAUGGCGAAGGCAGCUCGCUGGGACGGUACUGACGCUGAGGCGCGAAAGCGUGGGGAGCAAACAGG